UGCACGUCGGUGCCUGCCCUCUAGUGCGGAGUUGAGAACAGAGGAAGUUCAUUCAUGGAUCGGAGUCAGCCUGAGAGGCCACGCUGCUCCUUCUCCCGCAUUCACUACAUUUCUUGCUCUGCACACAAUCCCAGGAAGUCUGCGGAGACACCCUGAGCCGCCACCCGCUGCUUCUGUGCCUCUUCAUCUGCCGCCUGUGGGUCCCACAUGCCGGGGACUUUUUCUGCCCCACACUCUCUGCUUUGCUCCCUGAGUGUCCUGAAGCAGGGGGAUGGGCUCCCGGGACUUUCCAUGGCAAGCACAGUGGACAGUGAGAGACAGAGAGAGAAAGGUCUUCCUUUUCCAUUGGUUCAACCCCCAGUGGCCACUGCACCCGCAACCGGGACAGAAUCCAGUGCUCCAUCCAGGACUACAACCUGGUGUGCCGGCGCCGCAGAUGGAGGAUUAGCCUAUUGAGCCACGGCGCUGGCCAAAUCACUCUCUUAAUCUCACAAAGUCAUGUGGCUAGGAGAAGGCAUAUCUGAUUUUUUCUAAUCAGCCUUCCUAAAAAUUACAAAUUUUUUUCUGGCAACAGUGAAUUUGGCUCAUCAUAGAAAGUUCUGCAUGAUACUGCAAGAGCUCUCUGAUUUGGCCUGGAAAAGCAGUAGAAGAUGGCCCAAAUGCUUGGGAUCCUGCACCCAUGUGGGAGAGAAGAGUGAAGCUCCAGGCUUCUGGCCCCUGCUGCAGAUCAACCCAACUCAGUCUGUUGUGUCUACUGAGAAGUAAACCAGUGGAUAGAAGAUUUUUCUCUGUCUCUCCCUUUGUCUGUAACUGUACCUCUCAAAUAAAACAAUAAUUUUUUUUAUUAAAAACAGAGUUUAUCCUCACAUUUGGAACUUCUAGUAAUUUUGAUGGGUUGAGAGGAAAUUUGUAAAGUCUGUGAUACAACUGAGAGCCUUCCAAGUCCUAGCAUGUAAGAAGAGAAUAGCGAGCAGACAGCUGGUAGACAAGACCUGACAGGGUACAAUCCAUACAUAGCAUUGUCUUUCUGAAGACCAUAGUAAGUCCUAUGGUCCCUGUUCAAAGGUCAUGGGAAACCAUCCACACAGUUGAAAGAGGAGUGUGACUUGAUGAGAUUUUGGUUUGUAAAAUGGCCUUAGUACUUAAGAACAUCUCCAGAGAAAACAUAGAAGAGUACUGCUGGAUGGUAAAUCUUCAUUAAUAGUAACAAGACUUGAUGAAAGAAAUGGCACCUUUAAGGGAAAUGUAAUUCAGGGAAGGGAGAUAAGAAUUAGUGAAUCUUUUCUCCUAGGAUGGUAUUUACACCAACUGUAGAUAUUGGGGCCCUAAUUUGGUGUGUUGAAGAAGAUUCCUCUAGGAUCUGGAAUAACUUGAGCAUCAGAACACAUAAUUUCAGACUAUAAUGCCUUUAACAAGAUAAGAAUCUAUGAACUCAUAAUGAUAUAGUACAUAAUGACACACUAACUAGGACAGAAGAGUGAGCCCUUAGCUUUGAUGCUAGAUCAAAGUAUAAACGGAGAAACAAUAUUGGGAAUUAAAACACCAGCAUUUCAUAUAGUAUUGAUGAUUAAAAAUACUAUUAAAGGUAGUGGAUGAAAAUUUGAUAGGAAGUAGGAUACUGGCAUAAUAUUGGAAUAAUUUUUAAUAAAAUCCACACAUUCCAAAAAGGAAUAAAAAUGUGUAUAUAGCACAGCAUAUAUGAAUGCGGUGGUGAAGCAAGGUUUGCCACUGCCUGCCACACCAGCAUUCCACAUCAGAGUGCUAUGGUGCUGCCUCAAUUUCCAGCUUCCCUGCUUUUGAUCAAGCACAAUGUGAAUGCACCUGGGAAGGCUUCAGAACAUGGCCCAAGUCCUUGGGCCCUGCCACCCAUGUGGAAGACUGGGAAAUAGUCAUUCAUCCUAGCUUCAGCUUGACAAAGAACUUAACAUUGCAACUCUGGAAAUGAACCAGCAGAGACAGAGAGAGAGAGAGAGAGAGAGAGAGAGAGAGAGAGAGAGAGAGAGAUCCAGCUUUUUGCUAUGGCCUGGGAAAGCAGUAGAAGAUGGCCCAAGUGCUUGGACC